CCUACGGGAGGCUGCAGUGGGGAAUAUUGCACAAUGGGGGACACCCUGAUCCAGCGACGCCGCGUGAGUGAAGAAGUCUUUCGGUACAUAAAGCUCUAUCAGCAGGGAAGAAAAUGACGGUACCUGACUAAGAAGCCCCGGCUAACUACGUGACAGCAGCCGCGGUCAUACGUAGGGGGCCAGCGUUAUCCGGAUUUACUGGGUGUAAAGGGAGCGUAGACGGCAGCGCAAGUCUGGAGUGAAAUCCCAUGGCUUAACCCCGGAACUGCUAUGGAAACUGUGCAGCUGGAGUGCAGGAGAGGUAAGCGGAAUGCCUGGUGUAGCGGUGAAAUGCGUAGAUAUCAGGAGGAACACCAGUGGCGAAGGCGGCUUACUGGACUGUAACUGACGUUGAGGCUCGAAAGCGUGGGGAGCAAACAGGAUUAGAUACCCCAGUAGUC
rnacentral:rRNA from 1 species